AGAACGGGUAUGUCAGAAAAAUAUAUGAAAAGAGAAAAAAAAAAAAAUGUAAAAAAAACUUGUGUGACAUGUCUCGCAGCGGGCGAAACCGUGGGAAUUUCAUAACAGAAGAUCUCUUUACAUAAGGGGAUUUUUUUAGUUCUUAUCAAAACGUUACAUAUAUCAAAAGAAGCGGAAAAAAAAUUUGAAAAUUAUAAAAGAAAAAAAACUUUUUUCAUGUCCGGAUCGUACAUCACCCUUGAUGCAAAAAAUGUCCGCGCCUGACGUUGUUAACACACACGACACACACUUCCCUUGAGAAAAGAUAGUAUGAAUGUCUUCACGAGUGUCCUACUGUUUCAUUUUAGAGCCCCUCCUCUUGAUGACGACACGCACACUGUCAGCUACACUUUGCAGCGUCUCUCUCUUAAAUUUUCCCCAAUAUCUUUGUAUCUCCAUUUCAGAUGAAUUGUUCUCUUUCCAAGGGUUGAGGAGAACAUGGUCGUGGUUCAAGUGAAGCCACUACAGCCACUGCCUGACAAGUCUUCCACACUGAUAGACAGUGGCAGCAAACACACAAGGGAGGAUGGUGUGGUGGACAAGAGGAUGCAGGGAGACGGCAGACAGAAUGGAAGCUACAGAUGAAAGAAGAGCAGGUCAAGCCAUGGCAGCAGACAGACAGACAGAGACAGAUUGGAUCAGAAAGUAUUAUUAUUUAGUGAGCACCAGAAGCAGUCUUCCUCACACGAACCGUUUCAUUGCCGGGACUUGAAGGCUGCUGAAGCAAUGCGGCGGAGGUCACGCCCCUUAAAGUAUUUAUACUUACUGUCAACACCAUAACUAAAGCAAACACUUUAGUGCAGGUAGUUAAAUAAGUGCAAUCAUUGUUCCAGAUUCCUAAAUUCACAAAGUACAUAAACUCAUUGAAAGUUUUUAGUGCAGGUAAUUAAAGUUUUAGUGAAAUAAUUGUUCCUAUUCCUAAUGUUGUGUGGUGCAUUACCUCAGACAGGCCCACUGGAAGCUGUCAGUCUGCUGCGGCACGUGGCAAGAACCAAGUGUUGAGGAGCACACGUUGUCCCUUCACCAGUCAGCAGACUGCUCGCCUUCACAGGUCUGGGCGGCUCGGAAGUCUCACUACAAACUGGAGAUCCAUUCUCUUGGACACAGCUGGAGUCGGACACAAGAUUCAAGAGGGAGUCAUUUUAACGAGAGCUUCAGGCAGAAAAUUCGAGUGGAUUUUCAUUUCUAAAAAUAUCUUAUUUUUUGGGGGGGAUAUUUUGAAUCCUUCUUUGUGGAAAAAUAACUCCAGAUAUUAUGAUUCUAGCUGGAAGUUGACCUGAGCAAUGUAGGGUUUGCUGCUGUGAGAUUAUCACCAAGGCACAAGUGUCCGGGAUUUAAAGAUGAUGGAAAUGUGUCCUGUGUGCUGCUGUGCUGGGAAGAGGAGAGGAGCAGCAGCAGUGGUGGGGCUCUGCUGCUGCUGUCACUAGUGCAGCUGCCUUCCCUCAACAUGAUGUGUCUUCUCUCACCUGCAAUGAACAACUAUGAACAAUACUUUUGCGAUGAAGAACAGUGAAUAACACCUCUCCCCAUAUGAUUGCAAGUCUCUCUCUCUCUCUCUCUCUCUCUCUCUCUCUCUCUCUCUCUCUCUCUCUCUCUCUCUCUCUCUCUCUCUCUCUCUCUCUCUCUCUCCACAGUCCUACAGUAUGUCCCCCACAGUAUGUUUACAAACCCACAGUGACUCCCCACAGCCCCUCACCAACACCCUCACCAACAAUUGUCUCCACACACACACACACACACACACACACACACACCAUUACAUACACAAAUGUUGCAAUCUUGUACACACACACACACACACACACACACACACACACACACACAC